AGCCAGGGAGCAGCUGGGCAUGAAGUCAGCCCUGUGGUGGUGCAAUGCAGCCUGGAGAGGUCUGCCAUUCCAAACGUGUUUAGCAGCUGCAUGGGUGGAGCCCAACUGAAGGUGACAGUGAGGAUAAGACUGGCACAGGGACCACGGGCAGCACCAGGCUAGAUCAGAUGCAGGGUCCUUCUCCUUUGCUGUCCUGUCCCAAAAGUGACCAGUAAAAGAUGCAAGGGAGGCAGGUGCAAGGACUGCUGCAAUAGGCAGUGGCAGUUUGCUGCCACGUGGUGGCUUUCUGGCCUGCAUGAGUGAUUGGCUCAUGCCCUAAAGCAGGACCGUUUGUAUCCAUCCAAAACAAAUCAGUGCAUUAAAAACUCCUCAGCAUCACAUCUGGAGGGGAUCUCAUUUGGGAUACAAACGUCCAACUGAUCUUGGAAUCCUGCUAUGUUCCUGGCCUCUGAGAUCACUGUGUUCCACAGACCAACUGUGUGUCCUCGGAAAACAGCCUUGUGGGCCUCCUGAUGGUCACAGAGUAAUAAUUUAGAAAGACCAGGAGUCAAGAUUAGCGCAGGGUCAAGGAUUUCAGUAGAACGUCAAGGCCAGGAUGAAUCCCAGCCAGAGGAUGGGGCUGGACACCUGAUAGGGAGCUAAGAGGUAGCAGGACAGAGAAGGCGAGAGAUCCGGGCAACUCCAGGCUGUCUGGCUGCCGGAGAGAAAGCAGAGGCUUCCCUAUUUACAUACUGCCUUCGGUGUCAGCUCAAAAAGGAUGUAUCAGAAAUAAAAGGUGUCCAGAAAAGAGCGACAAAAAUUAUUAGAGGUAUGAAGAGACCUGCAUAUGAGAAGAGAGCAGAAAGAUGAAGACUACCUGACUUAGAAGAAGUUGUACACAAUAAUGAAGGAUUUAGAUUAAAUUAGACAUUCCUGUUUCUCUCGUCUCAUAAAGAAAGAGCGAGGGGACAUCUAACGAAACUGAAAGACAACCCAUCUGAGACAGAGAGAGGAUGCAUAAAUAGUGCAUAAGUCACCCGAAGAACCCUUAUCAACACAUAUUAUCAAGCUCAGUGAGGGCGAUUCGUCAUCGGAACAGAAGUUAGUGGUGGCUUCUCCAACACCCGAGGUCUUCAGAUGAAGAGGUGAUGCCUUUCUGGAAGAGUUCCUUGGUAUGGGAAGUAGAAGGAUUGAUCUGAAUUCUGCUCUCCUACACGUGCGUGUGAGUAUCUGAGGAAGGAAUUUGCACCUGCCUGUGAAGUGCACUGGUCUCUUCACUACAAGGCACUACAGAGCUGCAAACUUAAGAGUCUCCAAAGGACACGCUGGCUGCUUCUGUUUAUAAGAUGUUCUGCACCUUCGCGAUGUAGUAGUUACUAAAGUAAUUAAAUGCAUCUUACUUAAAAGAUUCCCAAAGGCAACUCUAAUUCAAAGCCAGCCUCUUCUUUCACAAUAUUUUAGUUUUUUUAAAUGAAUAUG